AAAACAAAGCAAACAAAGCCCCAAAUGCUUAAAGUAAAUUCAAAUUUAAUUAGGAUUUUUUUCGUAUCGUUUUGGGACUUAAAAGUCGGUCUUGGUCGGUCUAAGGGAACGGAGGCGGAACUACGCCCCAGUGGACUAAAUGUAAAUGAAAAUUGACGCAACGCAAGUUUAUUAAAAUGCGAUUUGCAUAAGCAUGUGGCAGGAGUGGCGGAGGGGCCGGCGACGCGUGGCAGAGACCAAAGUGGCACGGACGCCAGCCAGGUAUUAUUCCCUUUGUAUUGGCUUGUGCGGAGGACAGAGGCCAAAGCGCAGAGGGCAUAGGGCAGAUGGCAGCGCGCAAAGUGGGAAAAUGGCAAAUAAAAGGUCGAUGGAGAGAAUAGCGAACCACACGUGCGGCAAGUAUGCGAUAAAUGCGAUGACGGCAUGCGGUCGGUGGCGCCUGCAAUCAAUGCAGCUUUUCCAGCUACAGUUUUUUUUAAUUGCUUAGCGUGGAAAGCGAAUGUCUUCCCCUAUCGGCUCCAUGCCAACUGAAAAGCGGAAAAAGGAACGAUCCAAAAGCCAGCCAUUGUUGACGUUGAUCCACCUAACAAAGAGCCACUCGCCCGCUGGCGGGCAGAAUGCAGUCGAGCUGCAGCGGCUUAAAUUGAAAUUUGUUGUCAUCGUAAAUUGAGAAUAAUUAUAUAUAAUUGUAUGCGUGCAUGUGAAAGAGCUCACGGAUGCAAACACGACUGUCCCCGCCACUCCAGGUCGGGUUUGCACAUCAAGUAUACGCCGAGUUGGCACAUAAAAAAUGCAUUAAGCAAACAACAUUAAAAUUAACUUAAAUGCUAAAUGCAUUUGACACAUUUACUUAAUCGCAUUUUACCAAAGCUGAGCCGGCCCAUGAAAAAUGGAAAACAAACUUGGUCCGCAACUCCGGUAAUCCAAUAAAGGAAAUCCAUAUACGGAUAUACGCGGACAUUUGUGUUUGAAGUUCGCAUUACAAAUUAAUUACAUUCACCAGAGAUGGUCAUGCAAUUUUAAUUAAUAUUUGUCAUGCCAUUUUUACGGGGAAUGCCAAAUGCAUUUUUGCCAAAGCCAUAUCUGACUAAAUGCCCCGAUAUACACACUUAUUACGUACAUACGGCCGUACUUGGAUUGAAAUGUAUUUGCUUAGAUAAAUAUUUGUUUACAAAUAAGCAGAAUUAAUUGGAAUUGUUUCUAGUUACAUGGGAUUUUGGGAUAUUUGAUAGGCCAAAACAAACAGAGAACAGAACAUACCCAUUUGCAGCCUCCCUGCCCAGCCACUCUGGCGCAAUCAUCAAACGAAAUUAAUUUACGAAAGCAAAAAAAUAAUCGAGAGCAUUCGAAUCGUUUCUCUGUCCUCUUCCCCAUAAUUACCAUUCGAUUUGAAGGGAAUCAAAUUUAAAUUUAAAUUAAUAUUUCGAAAUGCAUCUGCGAAAUGGCCUGAUUUGCAUACGACAAAGAAGUAUAUCCUUGAAAACCGACAUCUGUUUGGAAACUAAUAUUUUCGAUUAAUAAUUCAAGUGGCAUCGGACUUCCGAGCCAAGAAACUUCUGAUUGGCCUGUCACUACACAUUAACGACAAGUCGAAAGUCGAGUCUAAUCCCAAGUUGAACUUCUCCCCAUAUCGCUCGACAAAAUGUGAAACAAAAAUUUUCUGUGGCUGCAGGACAUUUGUUUGCAGAGUUUCAGUUUGAAAUUUCGCAAAUAUUUGACAAUGCCAUGUGUGUAACCAGCAACAUAUAACCAAAUGUAUAACCGAAUGUUUAAUGGACGGGAAGGAAUUUAUAAUGGAUGGUUUUGUUUUUUAUAAUAAAAAACAGUACAAUUGGGAAUUUCAAUCGAUAACUUUGUAGUUAUAAUAUUUGUUAUUGGUGACACAGAUUCAGUGACACAUGGUGCAAAGUUUUGCAGUUACCUGAUUCAAAAUAAAGUGAAAAUAAAAUUAUAGAUUUUAAACAACUUCAAGCUGAUCAGUGGCACUUACCCAAAAAUAAACUUUCCGGCCGAGAAUCCAAAUUAUUUUUUUUUCUGUCUGUUUUGGACACGUUCUAAACUGGUUGGUGGCUCAAUAAAUUAACCGGCGAAAAUCCUGUGCCAGUGGGCUGGGGAUGUCCUUUCCUCUAUCGCACAACUCAGAGGCACAUACACUCGCACAGGACAGCGCUGCAGAGGAAGCGCGGCAGAGUAUUAAAAACUCAUUAAGCGACCGUCGAGGACCAUGGAGCCUGGCGUUGCUGCUAUAAGCCCACAAUCACACAUAUGCAAGCGGAAGUAGAGGCUUAGGUUUGGGUUUCUGAGCCUGGACUGCCAAAAAGUCUGCUGUCGGUGUUCCGUUUUUGAAUUUUUUGCUUUUUGUGCCCGGCAACUCGGCGAAAGUAAAUCG